CUUAUGCUUCUAGGGAAUAUACCACAUCUGCUUAAAGAACAUAUAUAGCAAGUGAGAAGGAUACAAGGAAGCAUGUGGAGACAAGUGUAAUAGAACACAUGUCGAUACAUCCACUACUUUGUCAACAACAAAAGUAUCUCAUAUCAUCAGGGUCGAACGUACUCUAGAUUUGAUGGACUUGUUUUGACCCUUAAAUUCUUGAGUCGGCCUUAUACUCUAGAAGAAACCAGAAAACCCU
rnacentral:lncRNA from 1 species